AUCCGGCUGACGAGUCCCAAAUAGGACGAAAAGUGCUUUGUCCUGGAU
rnacentral:hammerhead_ribozyme from 1 species